ACAGUCAGUCCUGUGGUCGGAGUGGGUGCUGGAGACCAGGGGAAGAUAUGAGGCUCAUCAGCGCACCUUGAGCUGUGGGAACGGCGGUGAGGUACUCCGGAGCGCUCGGGCCCUAGGAUUUCCCGCCCACACAGCCUGCCUCUGUGAACUGCGCUGCCAUUAUGGAAUCCUCCAGUCCAGAGAUGACCAGGGGUGGCUGUUUGGAUUGAAGGGAAGACGUGGCUGCAACUCUCCAGGUGCUGGCUGGAGGUCAUGAGCACAAAUACAAGGUGAAAUCGAGGAGAGAGAGAGAGAAGGGAAAGAGGAGAGCCGGCUUGAGUUCCAUGUUUGAGACCAAACUCUGAAAAGUACCAGAAUUCUCUACACACACCUCACCUUCCAGUGUUUCCUGAUGUUUUACGUGUUUGUUGAGAUUUGCCACCAGAAGGGUCCCCGGCAUCCUUCCUCAGCUCCUCCCUGAGGAAGCAGAGUCCAGUAACAUGGAAGAGGACAGCAAAAUCUAGAAAAAGAAAAGCAGGCAGGUUGGCGUGGCGGUGCUGGGCCUGGACUCAGAAUUCUCAAGUCCUGGAUUCAAGUUGUGGUCCAGGACCAGCAGCAGAGCACCUGGGAGCUUGUUAGAAAUGCUGAGUCACAAGCUCACCCCAGACCGAAUCGUCAGAAUCCAGAUUUUAACAAGAAGGCUGCUGGUGAUUUGAAUGUCCACUAACGCUGACGAAUACUGUCCCAGUAGACCUUACCCACUGUUUUAAAGAGAGAUGAAGAAGGCAAGAAUUAUUGGGUGCCCUUGUCACGGAAGAAUAAGGAGAAUCCACAGAAUCGCUUAAUCAGGAAUGUGCUCAUCUGUGUGGACCAGCCCUAGCCAAAAGAAAUAAUGAGAGCGACGUGUAUAGUUUUAAAUGGAUACACUGCUCGCUAAAAAAGUAAAAGGGACAGACAAAAUGGGUACGACAAUUGGCUGAACAAAAAAUGGACAAGCAAAGCAAUGCAGCAGGGCCUGAUUUGUAAAGGACACACAGUUUACUACUUUGAGAAUAGGAGUUCUGGUUCAACACGGCAACACUGGAAGAUCCUGAACUGCCCUGGACCCACAGACCCUACAACUGCAUAAGGAAUAAUUUCCUCUGAAAAAGACCUAGAAACUAGCUGAACACCUCCUACCUGGGAGGUGAAGAAGAAGAAAAGACCAGCAUUGAAGGAGAUGCUGAGGGCAUUUUUAUGGACAUCCCCCACCACCAAAGGAUUUGCAAACCCUGGUUCAAGGCCAGGGGCACCAGGCUGCAAGGAAAGCACCAGGAGAACGAAGUGCGUGGAUGAGGACAGUCAGAAGCACCAGAGACAGCCGAAGGACUCCUCAAAUGUUUCCACCCACAUCCUUGUGAGCAGAGGUUAGAGAGGGAACCUGGGUUGGUGAGGGGAGAAGGUUAGCCUAGAGAGA